CGUUGGUACGGCAGUGGACUGUACUCCAAGGUUAAAGCAAAGAGAGCCCGACCAUUUACCAAGUUUCAAACGCUGCAUGACCGCAGUGCCUAUCUGUCGAUCCCGCUCUACAGGCGCGCCGUCAAUGAAAUCUUUAAGGACGCUGAGACGGAGGCUACGCACCCUCCUCUACCCCGGGCCUACAAAACGUCCAUGCAUGAUACAUGGGGGGCCCCUAAAUACGGGACAGUGGACGAGUUUGCUUCACCGGCAUCGUACUAUCCCGUUGAUUG